GUCUUUUUAGUAUAAUCGUAUAAGUGGCUUCCAACCACUUGGCCUUGGUUAAACCCCAAGAAAAGAUA
rnacentral:tRNA from 1 species